rnacentral:rRNA from 1 species
UACGUAGGGGGCAAGCGUUAUCCGGAUUUACUGGGUGUAAAGGGAGCGUAGACGGUUAUGUAAGUCUGGAGUGAAAGCCCGGGGCCCAACCCCGGGACUGCUUUGGAAACUGUGUAACUGGAGUACAGGAGGGGCAGGCGGAAUUCCUGGUGUAGCGGUGAAAUGCGUAGAUAUCAGGAGGAACACCGGCGGCGAAGGCGGCCUGCUGGACUGAAACUGACGUUGAGGCUCGAAAGCGUGGGGAGCAAACAGG